GUCUCUGAUAUGCUAUUGAAACGACAACUAUGGUGGAAUUUUGGUUUCAGUUGGUCUUCGCUACAUGCUUUUGCUACGUGAGAUCUCUUAUACUCUUACUUCACUCGGUUUCAAGGUUGUUUCAAUGGAGGUUGGCUAGCAUGGCGGCAUUUGGAGUUCCCAAUGGUUGAGUGCGAUGAGGAAGCUUUGCUGUUCUGAAUCUAUUUCUUUGGAUUGGGGCUUUAUAUUAAGGUUUUCAGUUGGGUUACAAGGUUUGGGCUUGUCUUCUUGUCAACUAUUGGGUUGUGUGAUUAUUGGGACCUUUUU
rnacentral:misc_RNA from 1 species